AGCGUAGGCGGGUGCUCAAGUCCGUUGUUAAAACUAUCGGCUCAACUGAUAGAUGCGGCGGAAACUGAGUAUCUUGAGUGAAGUAGAGGCAGGCGGAAUUCCUAGUGUAGCGGUGAAAUGCGUAGAUAUUAGGAGGAACACCAGUGGCGAAGGCGGCCUGCUGGGCUUUUACUGACGCUGAGGCUCGAAAGUGUGGGGAGCAAACA
rnacentral:rRNA from 1 species